UACAGAGGUCUCAACCGUUGUUCGGAUUCAUUGGGCGUAAAGGGUGCGUAGGUGGCGGGGUAAGUCUGGUGUGAAAUCUCGGGGCUCAACCCCGAAACUGCACUGGAUACUGCCUUGCUUGAGUACUGGAGAGGAGAUUGGAAUUUACGGUGUAGCAGUGAAAUGCGUAGAUAUCGUAAGGAAGACCAGUGGCGAAGGCGAAUCUCUGGACAGUUACUGACACUGAGGCACGAAGGCCAGGGGAGCAAACGGG
rnacentral:rRNA from 1 species